rnacentral:rRNA from 1 species
CAAUAGCGUAUAUUUAAGUUGUUGCAGUUAAAAAGCUCGUAGUUGGAUUUCUGCUGAUCGCUGUCGGUCUGCCGUCAGGUGUGUACUGGCAGUGUUUGGCAUCUAUUCGAGAUUGGGUGUCCACUUGAUUGUGUGCACUCGAUGUCGGAGCUAAUACUUUGAGAAAAUUAGAGUGUUCCACGCAGGCGCGUGCCUUGAAUACUGCAGCAUGGGAUAUUGGAAGGCCGAUUGAGCUUUCUUGUCGGUUCUCGGUUUGAUCGGAAUGAUUAAUAGGGAUAGUUGGGGGCAUUCGUAUUCAACUGUCAGAGGUGAAAUUCUUGGAUUUGUUGAAGACGGACUACUGCGAAAGCAUCUGCCAUGGAUGUUCUCAUUGA